CCCCACCUGGCGCCGCUCACCUCUUUCGCACCCCUCGCGCUCUAAAGCCCCUAGACGAGCAGCUCAGGGCGCAAGCUCGCAACCCCUUACUCCCUUCGAGGAUUUAGAGGCAAGAAGCCUUCGCCCCACGGCCGGCCGAUGCAGGACGAAGGACAGGACUAAGAAACUGCGCCGGGGCGCGGGUGUCCGUCGUCGGCGCGUGUGUCGACCACGACUACUGCCUGCCCAUCACACGUUCACAAUCUUCGGGCAAGCUGCUUGUCACGUUGCACGAGUGAUCUGAAUCGGUGUAUAGUGAAUGAACGUAACGUUUGCCGGCAGGUUGAACGACAAAGAGUGCGCGAGAAGAAUCGAACAACGUUGUAAAAUUAUAUUUUUCGCUCUUGGUGGUUGCUGCUUUCUUUAAUAAACUUAAAUGUGUAACAUAUGUGUGUAACAUAUAUGUGUGCAUAUAGUUGGACAGAUAAUUGCCACUUUUAUAAUAAAUAUAAUAAGAUAAGCGUAUAAUUUUAUCAUACAAUUGUUAAUUUUACACACACACUUUCCUCUUUUUUCUCUCUCUUUGUUUUCCUGAAUUCCAUUAAUAUUGCACAUAAAUAAAGUUCAACUUAUCGAAGGAACGUAUUCGCGACUGUUGCGCAAUUCAAGCGGCUAACCGUACGCAGAUGUUUGUUAAAUAAAUAAAUAGAAGUUAUAAAUCUGCGUUAUCGUAUAAUCCGGGGAUCGAGGACGAAAUGAUACGUAAAUCAAGUUGCAGUGAAUGCACAAAGUGCCACGGCAUGCAUAAAGUAGGAGCAAAUCGAAGUAUAUAAUACGUGUAUAUCGCGAAAUUUCGAUAACAUUGUGUCGGUUCGCUGAAUUGUACGCAAUAUUAUCGCCAGAGGUGGUUGCAAGUCUCGUAUGUACACGAAUAAACAAAUGAGGCUCCGUAGCGGACAUGUUUAAUCGGAACAAUGGGAAUCGCGUUGCAUCACUGAAUCUUAACUUCAUUCGUGAUAAAUUGCGACAUGUCGCGCGCGUAGCGUUAUAUGAUCCGAGACGGGAAAGCGUAAUGCUCUUAAAACACAGCUCGUAAAUACCUCUUCAAACGGUAAUUCCGUCGAGAUAAAUCUGCCGCUUUGCGAAAUGCUCGUAUACGAAACUACAUAUUCCAGAGAAGAAAAAUAAUCGCCACGUUACUGAAAAAUGUCGUGUCAGAACGAUAUCAGCAAAUCGACAUGCGAAUGAGCCAAACUUCUAUUUGGAUUAAUAAAAAUCUAGUUGAACAAUUAAACCUUAAAUGAAAAUUCUUUUAAAGUGUACAAAAUAAAGGAUGCGAUCUGCUUGGAUUCUUAAAUCUUAAUUUGCGAAGGGGCUGUUUAUUUCUGGACAUUUUAAAAAUUAUCAAUGUAUCUUUUGAUUCCUACUAAGGCAAACUGCACUUUAACCCUAGCUUUCCACACUUUCAAUUUUCUUCCUACACUGGUGUACAGGCUACCUCACGUCAAACAUUUAGUUAAAAAUAUAAGAAAAAAUCAAUCAAUUUUAAAUCACUUUUUUUCCCAUCGAUACGCCACACAUCAAGGACUAUGCCUACGCAUAGGAAAAUUUGAAAAAGAAAGUAGUUUGUAAAUAUUCGCUUGUGAAAAAAGGUUACAUUCAAAAUUCGUGAAUUACUUCAUUUUACUGGGGGUUUCAGGCACCCCUGUGUGGGAAGCUAGGGUUAAUUUAAAUCUAGUCUAAUUCGUCAGAUUCUCUCUCUAGUCCAGGCGAUGUGGGAUAGAGGUAAUAAUACGAUUCCGUACAAUCUGCACGUGUUCCUUAAACUUUGUGACAUCUCCAUUAUCCAUGUGAAAACCGCGGAAGGGAAGGCUUCGUAGCAGAUCCUGACGAGACGUCACGCGGACGUCACUACCUGAUCGAUUUCGCGCGCGUGGAGAGAAAGUUUCCUGGCGAAGGUUCAGAUCGGGCUCGUGCCUCGUUCGCGUUCCUGCCCUUCCAUUGUCCUGCCAACCCCUCCGCUCCUCGUACACGGUCGCGAGACUGUCCCAAGGGUGCGACGAGGAUAUCCCGCGGUGCGCAGGCGACGAACCGCGUUUCGGUUAUAAUACGUUGGGGUGUCAGAACAGAGUUCCAGCCACGACGAUGAGGUGCGGGUGGCGAGAAGGUGAAGCGGGGGAUGAUGUCUACGGAAAGUUCCGUGGCGAAGAGGUCCAGUGUCGGGGUGCCGCACGAGCGUGGACGUAACUUUUCCGAGGAAAUCACAAAUCAGUCAGAAGCCACCAGGAAGCAGUAUAAACUAAAGCCGGCGUGCUCAUAAAUCUCCCAAAAUGGAGAAUUCGUGCUGUUUUCGCGCGCGUUCACCGCUUGGAGCACCGGAUGUGGAUUGCAAGGGCUUAACGUGUGUCCAAGCAUUGAUUCCUACCACGAGUAACAAAGACAAGUUGCAGUUCCGUAACGAGCGUAACUAAGCGCACGAAAUACGCCGGUUAUUGGGAAAUUAGAAUUCACUUAUCUUUUAUAGGAUUAUUUUUCAUUUACAUGUAGCUUGCCCCAUUAUUACACGAAAAAUUAAUUUCUGUCGUAGAAAAUUUAAUUUUUCUUUGAUAUUUUAUUUUAGUCUGCUGUUGUAUAUUUUCCACUAAUAAGUAAAGUUCUGAUAUCAUUGAAAAUAUUAUAAUAUAAUAAAAAUAAGAAAACAUAAAAAGGUCCUUAUAAAAAUGAUUUCAAUAAUUAUAUGGAGAUGUUUGUAAUUAAUUGUGUUUAAUGCUCCAUUAUAAAAUAUUAUGGAUAAUGCUUUAAUCAAUUCAGGAAAUUUAAUCCUGCAUAUAAUACUAAACUAAACUAAUUAGGAUUACGUGUUCCAGUUGCUGUUUCUCAUUACUUACUACUAGAUAUAUGGAAUUAGAAUGAAAUUAGACGUGUAAAUUAAACACGUUUAUACAGAUUGCGAUAUCUCGAUUUAUUAUGAAAUAUAUUGCCAACAAAAGUUUACACACACGCGCGCGCACGCGCGAGCACAUGUGUGUGUACAACAUUGGUCGUUGCAAAAGCUUAGCAAUCCAAUUGAAAAUUUAUCCGAGCCGCCUAAUCCACUUUGCAAACGGACUAUCAAUUGUAUGUCGAAUUUCAGUGCCAUCGCUCGCAAUCUAUCGAAUUCCACGCGUGCACAUCGUUAUUAACGUACCGAAUGAGAGCACAACGUGUACGGCUGUCAGACUCCUCUUGAAAAGGAGCAGUCGAUCGAUAGCCGAGGAGCAUUACGACGUCUGCUAACUGCCAGCGAAUAGACUACUUUCUACAAUACCCCAUUAUAUUACAAGGAAAUAGAUUUUCUCUAAACAUUGUAAUUCUAUUCAAGUGUCUAUAUGGAGAAAUCAGUACGUUUUAUAUGCAGAUAUUUAUGCUAAAUUGUUUUUUCAAAAAGCAAGAAGAUACGUUACUUUUAUCGCGAGCUUUUCAAAUUAUAAUCGACGACACAAUGAAAGAAUUAAUAAAAAUCUGAAGCAUUAACAUGAUUGCGCCGAAAAAGCAUAUGCUAAAUUGUAAUAAAUAUAUUUUUAAUAUAUCUUAUUUUCGAAUUACAUUUUAUAUUCGAAAUUAGAGGUAUCGAUAAUUCUCCCAGUGCACACGAGAUCGACUCGUACCAACGGUGACCAACGUUUGAAGUUGCUUCAUGUUACAUCACAUGUUACCAUAAAUUUUUAUGUAACAAUUAAACUGACGAAACAGCCCAUGUACAAUUCGAACAUCCACAUAAUUUGUGAUACAUUUUUUUUAAUUUUUACAUAAAUACAAAAUACAC
rnacentral:lncRNA from 1 species